GCCAAGAGAAGCGCCCAAUGUUUCUAUUUGUAAGUAUUCAAAUUCUCUCUUGGGUUUCUCAUCUCUUCCGUCAUUUAUACCACUUCAACUCUCAAUUCCUCCACCCCAAUCCGCCUUCUCUUCCGAUCAACUCUGAAAAUCGACACUAUGUGUUUGAGACCAUUACUGUUUGGAUCGCUUUCAAGACAAGUGAAGGCAAUGGCAGUUCAUCCAGUGGCCACCAUAACCACCAUACUCCAUUACAGUCGUCUCCUCCCCCGGGAUCUCACUGUUGAUUUAGAGAGACACCGAUUCAUUCGCCAUGAGUUGAUUGAUGAUCACACCUUCUUAUUCAAUUUCAUUGUUAAUAUCUUGUCAUGCUUCUGGUAGCGACUUAGCCCUUGGGAAAGUGGAAACCCCCACAAAAAGAAAAUUUAGAAUCAAA